UAAGUAAGUGGGGGAAAUUAAACCAAAUGGGAUAUCUUUAGUAAUUGCGAAUGAACAAGGAUAUGCUUAGCUUGACAAAUGGAGCUAUUGGCUUUGAAUUGUAUUGUGGAAAUGUAUUACCAACAGAGGUGCAGGUGCCAGCCUAUUGAAAUAAAGCGUCAAUGAGGGUGAGAAUCCUGUUUGUCAUGUGCAGCCCUUUGUGCACGGUGUAUAUUUGCUGAGUCACACUCCUUGGCAUUGGAAUGCAAAGUGGGUGGUAAGUUUCAUGUAAAGGUAAACAUGCAAUUGAGACUGAUAGCACACAAGUACCAUGAGGGAAAUAUGAAAAGGACUUUGAAAAGAGAAUUAAAUGAGUUUGUAUUUGCUGAACACAAAGUAAACAGACUUGAUUUGCUUAGUGGGAGUGUUGCACUUGCUUGACAAGAGCUUUGGGCUGUGGGUGUAAUGAUUCUUUCUUUGCAUGCCAGUUUCUAUUUGUACAUCUGAUUACCUUUGCACAUGAAUGAUAAGUCUCCUGUGGGGGGUGGAUUGCAUGUGCAUGUAAUGAUUUGUGUUUUGAUAAAUGUGUCUGGUGUAUGUGUGUGUUCCUGUGCUUGGGGAUGCUUCCUUCCUUGGACUUACAAGCCCUGACACACACAUGCUGGCAAAAUGCUUCUGCUUGACCCG
rnacentral:rRNA from 1 species